UUUUAGAAAUACACAACCAUUUGACAUUUGGGAUACAGUGUGAAAGCAGGGAAACGGAGAAAGGAGGCUGUAUUUCAAGGAGACACACGGCUAAUGGGUCUCAUCUUGCUAAGUUGCUAACUUGCCUGGACUGAGUUAAAGUGUUUGAUCCUCCUGCCUCAGCCUCCCAGAAUGCUGGGAUUACUGAUAUGAGUGAGAGCUCAUCGUCUGUUGAAAUCUGACUGGAUGGUAGACAAAGGGCUUUCAACUCCAUGACUCCCUGGGUGCAGUUGUUGGGGGCAGAUGCCAUGUGGGCAUUUCUUUGUGUCUCUACGUUCAGUGGCCAGAGCAGUGAGACAGAACAAGGAGAAUCACAGUGACUUCCACUGUGACCUCUAAAUCCAAUGGAAGAUGGGCUCGGACCUGCACCCCUUCUAAACUACGAAGUUCAGGUCUUUACAUCCCAACUACUUACAUGGUCCUUUGGAAAAUAGGCUCAUUUACUGGCUUAAUGGCUUAGGGUGCACCCUUUGCAAAUCUGGCCCUAAGGGUACAACCAGAAGAUGAGCUAUGUCUGGCUUGGCCAGGGCAGGAAUUGAUUCCAGGAGGCACUUGCUUACCUCCUGGUCCUCUGCUGAACACGAAUUAAAAUGCAAACAAGAUGCUGUACUUGUCCUCAGUGAUUUGGACUGAGAAGUAUUCUUUUAGAACAGAGGAAGAAGCUGAGGCCCAUCCAAAAGGAAAAACUCAAUAAAAUAAUAAAUAAAUAAAA